UAAUAUAUGUUUCCUUUUUUAUAUUUCCUUUUGCAUCAUGAUUUGUUGAUUUUUUGUAGUUAUUCUAUUUUGUCCGAAGGAAGUCGAUUUUUGGUGUACUUGUUAAGUAAGUGUGGUGUACUUAGGUUUCUAUGGGUAAUAGAUUUUGAAAGUGUACUGAAGUAGUGAUAAAUUAUUCGUGUCUUCUUAUAUCUGAUUUGUAAACUUUUUUUUCAUUUUAGGUUUCUUGUUAUGAUAUGAUUAAUCGGUUAAGAGAUUAUUUUUUCAUUUUUAUGUUCUGGGAUUAGAGGUUUCCUUGAUUUGUAAGUUUGUUAAAAAAGUGUUUUUUGUUGAUUUAUCUUUAUAUUAGCUGUUUACUUUGAAUUAUAUUUUUUUAAUGAUAGAAUAAGUAGAAUUGAAUAGUUUCUUUUUUUUCUCGAUGUUCGUCGGUCUGUUUAUUAAAAACAUUUCCAUUUUGAAGUUUAAAUGGUAGUUACCUGCCCAAUGUUAUUUUAUUAAUGGCCGCAGUAUAUUGACUGUGCGAAGGUAGCAUAAUUAGUUGCCUCAUAAUUGGAGGAUUGUUUGAAAGGUUUGACUAGAUGAGUAUUAAGAUGAGAUCUUUGAUUGAAAUUGGUUGAGAGGUGCAGAACCCUCGUAAAUUUAAUAAGACGGAAAGACCCCGAGAUCUUUAUUUUGUUGAGUUUAUUUGGGGUAAAGGUAAAUUUUUUAUUUGCUUUGUGAUCCUUUAUAGGGUUAAAGGUUUAGUUACCUCGGGGAUAACUGUGUAAGAAAUGAUUAGAGAUCAUAUCGAUUCAUUUAUUUGCCACCUCGAUGUUGACUUAGGGGUUCGUGUAGGCGCAGUAGUUUAUGACGAUGGUCUGUUCGACCUUUAUUCCCCUUCAUGAGUUGAGUUAAGACCGGCGUGAGCCAGGUCGGUUCUUAUCUAUUUUUCGGUUUGUUUAGUACGAGAGGAAUUACAUUCUUUUAUGUUGAGCGUGCGCUAGUUGAUAGGUUUACUUUGCAGAGGUA
rnacentral:rRNA from 1 species